rnacentral:rRNA from 1 species
CAGCCGCCGCGGUAAUACAGAGGGUGCAAGCGUUAAUCGGAAUUACUGGGCGUAAAGCGCGCGUAGGUGGUUUGUUAAGUUGGAUGUGAAAUCCCCGGGCUCAACCUGGGAACUGCAUCCAAAACUGGCAAGCUAGAGUAUGGUAGAGGGUGGUGGAAUUUUCUGUGUAGCGGUGAAAUGCGUAGAUAUAGGAAGGAACACCAGUGGCGAAGGCGACCACCUGGACUGAUACUGACACUGAGGUGCGAAAGCGUGGGGAGCAAACAGGAUUAGAUACCCCUGUAGUCCCUGUCUCUUAUAC